UACGUAGGGGGCAAGCGUUAUCCGGAUUUACUGGGUGUAAAGGGAGCGUAGACGGCGCGGCAAGUCUGAAGUGAAAGGCGGGGGCUCAACCCCCGGACUGCUUUGGAAACUGUCAUGCUAGAGUGCAGGAGGGGUAAGCGGAAUUCCUAGUGUAGCGGUGAAAUGCGUAGAUAUUAGGAGGAACACCGGCGGCGAAGGCGGCCUACUGGACUGUAACUGACGUUGAGGCUCGAAGGCGUGGGGAG
rnacentral:rRNA from 1 species